CCGAGCUCUCGCCCUCCGGGUAGACCUCCCACCCACUGUCAUCGCUACCCUCGUUGCUUUGGCGGGCCGCCAGGCCCUGCCGGCCGCCGGCCCCCCGGCGCGCGCCCGCCAGAGGCCCUCCAGACCCUGAAUGUCAGUGCCGUCUGAGUACCACACAAUCGUUA
rnacentral:misc_RNA from 1 species